GAAGUGCUUUACUUCUCACUGCCGAGGCAAGUUAAGCAGAGGUGGGACAUCUGAACUACUGAGUCCUCAGUCUCAACUUCAUGUAUGUUCUUGUACUCUCCUGCAUGCUCAUUCUUGAGUCAGAGCAAAGCACAAGCCCUUCUCUGACACAGGCAGCUUCCUUAUAGGAGGUGGGAAACCUACCCUGGCAUUGCUACCUGGAGUGCCAUUCCAGAAGACUCAUAGUUAUGGGCCUGUUGUUAGGGUCUCUUAAAGUACCCUUGGUAGUCUCUAAUGUAAGAGCAGCAGUUUCACAGAUUUACCCUCAGAAUUGAGUCAGUCAUCCAGGUAAUCCAUGUAAUCCAAACAGGGAGCAAGAGGGGACAGGCUGCAGUGAGUGAGGACAAAAGUCAUCUGUCCAAACCAAGAAACCACCAUCAGUUAUACAUACACACAUACACAGACUUCUGGGCCCACUCACACAGACAGAAAACUUCACUCUUCAGCAGGGUUCUGGAAAUAAGCAUGUAUAUACUACACUGAUAGGAAAAUUUAAAAUACAAAAUAGGAAAAGCCACUUAUAGGAUGGGCAGAAAGGAAUUCAUCACUUAAGAGGAAAAAACAGCAAAGACAGGUAUAGAUAACAAACCAAUGAAGGGUGGGAAGUUUCCCUAAUAAUUAAAAAGUGGACCAUUCUUCAGCGUUAGAG
rnacentral:lncRNA from 1 species